GACGGGGGCCCGCACAAGCGGAGGAACAUGUGGUUUAAUUCGAUGAUACGCGAGGAACCUUACCCGGGCUUGAACUGCAGGAGAACGAAUCAGAGAUGAUGAGGUCCUUCGGGACUCCUGUGGAGGUGCUGCAUGGUUGUCGUCAGCUCGUGCCGUGAGGUGUCGGCUUAAGUGCCAUAACGAGCGCAACCCCUUUCGUUAGUUGCCAUCAGGUGAUGCUGGGCACUCUGGCGAUACUGCCACCGUAAGGUGUGAGGAAGGUGGGGAUGACGUCAAAUCAGCACGGCCCUUACGUCCGGGGCUACACACGUGUUACAAUGGGUGGUACAGAGAGCCGGUCGUCUGCAAAUGCGAUCAAAUCCUAAAAGCCAUCCUCAGUUCGGAUUGGGGUCUGCAACCCGACCCCAUGAAGCUGGAUUCGCUAGUAAUCGCGCAUCAGCCAUGGCGCGGUGAAUACGUUCCCGGGCCUUGUACACACCGCCCGUCAAGCCAUGAAAGCCGGGGGCGCUUGAAGUCCGUGACCGCAAGGAUCGGCCUAGAGCGAAACUGGUAAUUGGGGCUAAGUCGUAACAAGGGAGCCGUACAAA
rnacentral:rRNA from 1 species